UACGUAGGGGGCGAGCGUUGUCCGGAAUUAUUGGGCGUAAAGAGCGUGUAGGCGGUUCGGUAAGUCUGCCGUGAAAACCUGGGGCUCAACCCCGGGCGUGCGGUGGAUACUGCCGGGCUAGAGGGUGGUAGAGGCGAGUGGAAUUCCCGGUGUAGCGGUGAAAUGCGCAGAUAUCGGGAGGAACACCAAUGGCGAAGGCAGCUCGCUGGGACGUUACUGACGCUGAGGAGCGAAAGCGUGGGGAGCAAACAGG
rnacentral:rRNA from 1 species